AAUUCGCCCUUAGAGUUUGAUCCUGGCUCAGGAUGAACGCUGGCGGCGUGCUUAACACAUGCAAGUCGAACGGGAAUUACUUUAUUGAAACUUCGGUCGAUUUAAUUUAAUUCUAGUGGCGGACGGGUGAGUAACGCGUGGGUAACCUGCCUUAUACAGGGGGAUAACAGUCAGAAAUGGCUGCUAAUACCGCAUAAGCGCACAGAGCUGCAUGGCUCAGUGUGAAAAACUCCGGUGGUAUAAGAUGGACCCGCGUUGGAUUAGCUUGUUGGUGGGGUAACGGCCCACCAAGGCGACGAUCCAUAGCCGGCCUGAGAGGGUGAACGGCCACAUUGGGACUGAGACACGGCCCAGACUCCUACGGGAGGCAGCAGUGGGGAAUAUUGGGCAAUGGGGGAAACCCUGACCCAGCAACGCCGCGUGAAGGAAGAAGGCUUUCGGGUUGUAAACUUCUUUUGUCGGGGACGAGUAGAAGACGGUACCUGGCGAAUAAGCCACGGCUAACUACGUGCCAGCAGCCGCGGUAAUACGUAGGUGGCAAGCGUUGUCCGGAUUUACUGGGUGUAAAGGGCGUGUAGCCGGGAAGGCAAGUCAGAUGUGAAAUCCACGGGCUUAACUCGUGAACUGCAUUUGAAACUACUUUUCUUGAGUAUCGGAGAGGCAAUCGGAAUUCCUAGUGUAGCGGUGAAAUGCGUAGAUAUUAGGAGGAACACCAGUGGCGAAGGCGGAUUGCUGGACCACAACUGACGGUGAGGCGCGAAAGCGUGGGGAGCAAACAGAUUAAAUACCCUGGUAGUCCACGCUGUAAACGAUGAAUACUAGGGUGUGCGGGGGACUGACCCCCUGGCGUGCCGCAAUUAACACAAUA
rnacentral:rRNA from 1 species